UACCCGAAUGGCUUCGUUCUCUUGUAGAGCUGGUCAAUGACGGGUGCUUUUAUUAGACCAAGCCACUGCGGAUGCCUUAAAAACAUCUGUCUCGUGUAAUGGUGACUCUGAAUAACCUUUUUGACAAGCGCACGUACUCCUCUUAUGAGCGGGACGGCGCUGCCACUUUCGAGUGUCUGCCUUAUCAGCUAUCAAUCGUUCGUUACGUGCGACCGAUGGCUUUGACGGGUAACGGGGAAUCAGGGUUCGAUUCCGGAGAGGCAGCCUGAGAAACGGCUACCACGUCCAAGGACGGCAGCAGGCACGCAAAUUACCCAAUCCCAGCAACUGGGGGAGGUAGUGACGAAAUCUAACGAUGCGGGCGCCCUUUCUAGGGCCCCGCAAUCGGAAUGGCCACUUUCUAAACAACCUGUUGAGAACCUACUGAAGGGCAAGUCUGGUGCCAGCAGCCGCGGUAAUUCCAGCUUCAGUAGCAUCUAUUAAAGUUGCUGCGGUUAAAAGGCUCGCAGUUGAAUGUCAGUAUCGAGCGCAGUCAGGUGGACGUUGGGGCGUGAGAUAACACACGGUACGAUUUUCUGUGGUCGCAGUGUUCUGGGCUUCUCUCUCUCUUCGUUUCUCGAGCUUCGGCAAGAGUUCAAGGGUUUGGUUGUUCAUUCCUGCUUUGGCUGUGGUGCGUACCGUCUCACAAGCUCCCGUCCGUAAACAGCCUCCUCGCUUGGGUACAUAAUGGUAUCGGUACGGAUAAGUUGGCAUUCGCACUUGUGUGUUUGUUUUCUUCAUCCUAUGGUUUCAAUGUCACCUUGAGUAAAUCAGAGUGCUCAAAGCAGUCGUAGGGGCAUUUUUUGCCCCGUGAACAGUCUCGGCGGACUGACUGGUUUUGCAUGGUAUGUCGAAAGACGACGUCGUGGUCUGGCUAGACAGUGGUGCAAGCCAGGCUCGACGUAAUGAUUAAAAGGACCGGUCGAGGGCAUUGGUAUUGCGAGGCGAGAGGUGAAAUUCUGUGACCCCCGCAAGACCUCCUGAAGCGAAAGCGUCUGCCAUGGACGUUUUCAUUAAUCAUGAACGAAAGUUAGAGGAUCGAAGGCGAUCAGAUACCGCCCUAGUUCUAACCCUAAACGAUGCCAACCAUCAAUCCGCGCGUAGCACCUUUCUUGACGGGCUCGGCGGGCAGCUCCUUUACCACGGGAAACCAGAGUCUUUGGGUUCCGGGGGGAGUCUGGUUGCAAAGCUGAAACUUAAAGGAAUUGACGGAAAGGCACCACCAGGCGUGGAGCCUGCGGCUUAAUUUGACUCAACACGGGCCAUCUCACCAGGCCAGCACUCUAUACUGAUUGACAGAUUGAGAGCUCUUUCUCGAUUUAGUGGAUGGUGGUGCAUGGCCGUUCUUAGUUGGUGGAGUGAUCUGUCUGGUUAAUUCCGAUAACGAACGAGACUCUCCCCUGCUAACUAGUCGGUUGGAUCUUGCUCGGUGAGUCGUGUCCUGGGUGUUUUCGGGAGGGAGUAAUUCGUGUGGUGGUCUUUGUUGUAUGUGGUUUCGGCCGCUGCUUCAUUUCUGCUGUCUCGGAUCUUUCUCUACGGCCUGGAUCGCACACUCCAAGUCCACCGCUUAUGCUAUAACUCUUCUUAGAGGGAUUGAUGGCUCCGAAGCCGUAAGAGAUUGAGAGCAAUAACAGGUCUGUGAUGCCCUUAGAUGCUCUGGGCCGCACGCGCGCUACAAUGCCAGGCACAGCAGGUGUUUGUCCUACUCCGACAGGAGCGGGUAACCCUCUGAAAGCCUUCGAUUUACUCUCGUGUCUGACACGAAUGGCGUGAUUGGGCCUGGGGCUUGCAAUUGUUUCCCACAAACGAGGAAUGCCUAGUAGCGGCGGGUCACUGAGCCCGCCGUGACUCAGUCCCUGCCCUUUGUACACACCGCCCGUCGCUACUACCGAUUGGGUGUACCAGUGAGAGCUUUGGACUGGCGUCCUUUUGCCUUAGGGC
rnacentral:rRNA from 1 species